rnacentral:rRNA from 1 species
UUGAUCAAGCUACAAAGAGCGCAUCAUGGAUGCCUUGGUGCCAAUAGGCGAUGAAGGACGUGGCAAGCUGCGAUAAGUCACGGAGAGCGGCAAACACGCUUUGACCCGUGAAUUUCCGAAUGGGAUAACCUGAGCAGGGUAACACCUGCUCGAGUUCCUGUGAAUUCAUAGCAGGAACAUCGCGACACCCGGUGAAGUGAAACAUCUCAGUAACCGGAGGAAUAGAAAUCGAAAGAGAUUCCGUCAGUAGUGGCGAGCGAAAGCGGAACAGGCUAAACCGAUCGAUUUAUCGAUCGGGGUUGUAGGAGCCCGACGUGGUAGUGCAAAGGUUAGGUGAAGCUUCUGGAAAGCUGCGCCAUAGAGGGUGAAAGGCCCGUAACCGAAAACCCGAGCACGCCUAGGGAUUUCCUGAGUAAUACGAUG